AUUGAACGCUGGCGGCAGGCCUAACACAUGCAAGUCGAACGAGUGGCGGACGGGUGAGUAAUGUCUGGGAACCUGCCUGAUGGAGGGGGAUAACUACUGGAAACGGUAGCUAAUACCGCAUACCAUCAGAUGUGCCCAGAUGGGAUGAGCUAGUCGUUGGGGUAACGGCUCACCUAGGCGACGAUCCCUAGCUGUACUGAGAGGAUGACCAGCCACACUGGAACUGUGACACGGUCCAGACUCCUACGGGAGGCAGCAGUGGGGAUGAUUGCACAAUGGGCGCAAGCCUGAUGCAGCCAUGCCGCGUGUAUGAAGAAGGCCUUCGGGUUGUAAAGUACUUUCAGCGGGGAGGCGUUACCCGCAGAAGAAGCACCGGCUAACUCCGUGCCAGCAGCCGCGGUAAUUC
rnacentral:rRNA from 1 species